AGCUCCAUUAGCGUAUAUUAAAGUUGUUGCAGUUAAAAAGCUCGUAGUUGGAUUUCGGUUCGGGUCGGGGCGGUGGCGUCGCGAGACGUCUACCUCCCGGCCAGUCUCUCUUCCCGAAGACUGCGUGUGCUCUUCAGUGGGUGCGCGUCGGGACUCGGGACGUUUACUUUGAAAAAAUUAGAGUGCUCAAAGCAGGCUACAAAGCUUGAAUAUUUGUGCAUGGAAUAAUGGAAUAGGAAGUCGUUUCUAUUUUUUUGGUUUUCGGAAAUUGACUUAAUGAUUAAUAGGGACAGCCGGGGGCAUUAGUACUCAGACGACAGAGGUGAAAUUCUUGGACCGUUUGAGGACUAACUACUGCGAAAGCAUUUGCCAAGAGUGUUUUCAUUAAUCAAGAACGAAA
rnacentral:rRNA from 1 species